GGAAGUGCCGAGGCCUCCGGUGCUGUCUUCUCCGCCGCCGCUUUUAAGUCCCUUCGUUCGCCGCCUGGGUGCCGCGGGGGCCGCCGCCGAGGAAGCUGCUGUGGCCCCGACGGGAGCGGAGGCGGCGCGGCAUGAAGCGGCGUAGGCCCGCUCCAUAGCGCAUCGGGACGGUCCGGGCGGGCCCGGGGGAAGGUGCAGUAUCCGCCCGCUCUCCCUCCCCUGCGCCCGCGAGGCCACGGCGCUCCGGCCGGCCGCCCUCGGGCCGCUCCCGCAGGGAGAGCGGGCGGCUGGGCCCCGUUGGCCGGAAGAGGAAGCGCACACUCUGAUUGCGAGGCCGCCAACGUUCGCUAGGCGCCCCUGAACGCUGGCUGCUGCCCGCUCGGACUCGCACGUCCGUUAUCUUGAUAGAGCCUGGCUCGGGUUGGGAUGCCGGGGACGGUCCGGGCUUACGGAGGAGGAAACGGAAAUCCGCAGAGGCGAAGGGGUUCGCCUGAGGAUUGGAUGGUGAGAAAAGGAAAGAUUCCUGUGAGAAGAGAUCAGGAUGAACGGAGAGAUCUGUGCUUAAAGUUGGGCCAGGUGAAAAUGAUCUCUUUGAAAGUAGAGAUCUGAGCAGAUGAAAAUACCAUCAGGAAGAUGCAACAUGGCAGCAGCAAUGGAAACAGAGCAGCUGGGUGUCGAGAUAUUUGAAACUGCAGAGUGUGAGGAGGGAAAUGGUGAAUCACAGGAUCGACCCAAACUGGAGCCUUUUUAUGUCGAACGGUAUUCUUGGAGUCAGCUGAAAAAGCUGCUCACUGAUACCAGAAAAUAUCAUGGCUACAUGAUGGCUAAGGCGCCACAUGACUUUAUGUUUGUGAAGAGGGCGGAUCCAGAUGGACCUCACUCAGACAGGGUCUACUAUCUGGCCAUGUCUGGUGAGAACAGAGAAAAUACACUAUUUUAUUCUGAAAUCCCUAAAACCAUCAACAGAGCAGCAGUCUUAAUGCUUUCUUGGAAGCCUCUUUUGGAUCUUUUUCAGGCAACACUAGACUAUGGGAUGUAUUCUCGAGAGGAAGAGCUACUCAGAGAAAGAAAGCGCAUCGGGACUGUGGGGAUCGCAGCUUAUGAUUACCACCCGGGAAGUGGGACAUUCCUGUUUCAAGCUGGCAGCGGCAUUUACCACAUCAAAGAUGGAGGACCACAUGGGUUCACACAACAGCCUUUACGGCCCAAUUUAGUGGAAACUAGUUGUCCCAAUAUACGAAUGGAUCCAAAGUUAUGCCCCGCUGAUCCAGACUGGAUAGCUUUCAUUCACAGCAAUGAUAUUUGGAUAUCGAACCUCGUAACCAGGGAAGAACGGAGGCUCACCUAUGUGCACAAUGAGCUAGCCAGCAUGGAAGAGGAUCCCAGGUCAGCCGGGGUUGCCACCUUUGUUCUUCAAGAAGAAUUUGACAGAUAUUCUGGCUACUGGUGGUGUCCACAAGCCGAAAGAACUCCUAGUGGUGGUAAAAUUCUUAGAAUUCUCUAUGAAGAAAACGAUGAAUCUGAGGUGGAGAUUAUUCAUGUUACAUCCCCCAUGUUGGAAACAAGAAGGGCAGAUUCCUUCCGGUACCCUAAAACAGGCACAGCAAACCCAAAGGUCACUUUCAAGAUGUCCGAGAUAGUUGUUGAUGCUGAAGGAGGGAUUAUAGAUGUCAUAGAUAAAGAACUGGUUCAACCUUUCGAGAUUCUGUUUGAAGGAGUUGAAUAUAUUGCCAGAGCUGGAUGGACUCCAGAGGGAAAAUAUGCCUGGUCCAUCCUUCUAGACCGUUCCCAGACUCACCUGCAGAUAGUUCUGAUCUCCCCUGAGUUAUUCAUCCCGGUAGAAGAUGAUGCCAUGGACAGACAGAGACUCAUAGAGUCAGUUCCUGACUCCGUGACACCGCUGAUCAUCUAUGAAGAAACAACAGACAUCUGGAUAAACAUCCACGAUAUCUUUCAUGUUUUUCCUCAAACUCAUGAAGAUGAAAUUGAGUUUAUUUUUGCCUCUGAAUGCAAAACAGGUUUUCGUCAUCUGUAUAAAAUCACAUCCAUUUUAAAGGAGAGCAAAUACAAACGGUCCAGUGGUGGACUCCCUGCCCCAAGUGAUUUCAAGUGUCCCAUCAAAGAGGAAAUAGCAAUCACCAGUGGUGAAUGGGAAGUACUUGGCCGUCAUGGAUCUAACAUCUGGGUUGAUGAAGCCAGAAAGCUGGUGUACUUUGAAGGCACCAAAGACUCUCCUUUGGAACAUCAUCUGUACGUGACCAGUUAUGCAAACCCUGGCGACGUGCACUGUGACUUCUUCAUAAGUAAGUACAGCAACCAGAAGAGUCCACACUGCGUGUCCCUCUACAAACUCUCAAGUCCUGACGAUGACCCAGUUCAUAAAACAAAGGAAUUUUGGGCCACCAUUUUGGAUUCAGCAGGUCCUCUUCCUGACUACACCCCUCCAGAAAUUUUUUCUUUUGAAAGUACUACUGGAUUUACACUGUACGGAAUGCUGUAUAAGCCUCAUGACCUACAACCUGGAAAGAAAUACCCCACUGUGCUCUUCAUAUAUGGUGGCCCCCAGUAAACUCAGCUUCCUGGUGCUCGCCGUGUCUCCCCGUCUCCUGCUCUGUAUGCUGUCACGUAACUUCACUGACGAUGUGCUUCUCUUCCAGGUGCAGCUGGUGAACAAUCGGUUUAAAGGAGUCAAGUAUUUCCGCCUGAACACCCUGGCCUCCCUGGGUUACGUGGUUGUGGUGAUAGACAACAGGGGAUCGUGUCACCGGGGGCUUAAAUUUGAAGGCGCCUUUAAAUAUAAAAUGGGCCAAAUAGAAAUUGAUGAUCAGGUGGAAGGACUCCAGUACCUAGCCUCUCAGUAUGACUUCAUCGACUUGGAUCGUGUGGGCAUCCAUGGCUGGUCCUAUGGUGGCUACCUCUCCCUGAUGGCACUAAUGCAGAGGUCGGAUAUCUUCCGGGUUGCUAUUGCCGGGGCCCCAGUCACUCUGUGGAUCUUCUAUGAUACGGGAUACACGGAGCGCUAUAUGGGUCACCCUGACCAGAAUGAACAGGGCUAUUACUUAGGAUCUGUGGCCAUGCAAGCGGAGAAGUUCCCCUCAGAACCAAACCGCUUACUCCUCUUACACGGGUUCUUGGAUGAGAAUGUUCACUUUGCACACACCAGUAUAUUGCUGAGCUUUUUAGUGAGGGCUGGAAAGCCGUAUGACUUACAGAUCUACCCUCAGGAGAGGCACAGCAUCCGGGUUCCCGAGUCUGGAGAGCACUAUGAACUGCACCUACUGCACUACCUUCAGGAGAACCUUGGAUCGCGCAUCGCUGCUCUGAAAGUGAUGUAACUCUGACUCGUGUAGAACCUGCGUACACCGUCUAACCACACAAGGAGGGUUAGCCAAUAGAGAAGCCAGAGUUGACGAUCCCACUUUUAUACCCGCCACAUAAGAUCUACUUCUGAAAGUAAAUUUGGUGCCAUGCAGAAAUCUGCAGCUCAUGGAUAGUAAUCUAACACCUUAACCAUGCACAGAGAACUGAGUGACGUGUUCCCAAGACAGUGCAGUGCCUGAGGGUACGGAACGCAGCACCAGCGCCACACACAGACCAGCCUGCGUCCACUUUAGCAGUGUCAGCCUUGGGACUUAACUAGUGGAUUUGACAGUGUACCCUGAGUUUGUUCAAAUAUGAUGAUAGUAGUGAUUGAUUUGGUUCAGUUCCAGGAUCUCUGACUAGUUAUGGAUUUGAUAGCACUUACGUCUGAUUGAAUAGCUUAUGCUUCCUCACUUGGGUUGUAUCCAGCAUGUCAUGAACUAAAUACUACUAAGCUUAUGACUUUCCUAGUCAUUAAUAAUUUUUCAAGGAUAACUUAGUGGCCUCCUGAAGAUACUUACUUAGGCUCUGACCAAUUUUUUUUAACCAAUUUAAACAGCAUCUAGUAUAAGUAAAUGUCCUUUUUCUUUGAUGAUGUGGGGUUUUCUUUCACAUAAGGCGAGUAACUAUGCAGCAUGAGUUUAAUCACAAGUCUCAAGAUAUUGACAAUUAGAGGCAAAAAUUUUUUAAUCAGAUUAUUUGAAAGCUUGAAAAUUAGCAGGCAAGUUUUUUCUCCUUUUAGGAACAGAACAUGUACACAUUUACUUGUAUUCUGAAAAUAUAAUGGUGCCGUUUCCAUUUGGCCUUUCCUUAAUUAAUGUGUUCCCGAGUUCCCAGGAGGUGAAAGGAUUACAGUGGGAAGGGGGAGGCCUGGUGCAGGGAAUGACCAGGAGAGACCAGGUCGCAAGGCUCUGCUUAAGAACUGAGCAGAAAUAGUUGGCCAGGAACACUGGUGAGAGAGACCAGAGUAAAUGUCAGUGUAGCUGGGGACCAGAGCUAGGAUGCCACGCUUUGCCACCACAGCUACAGGGCCAGCAUUCGGAGCGGUUACUUUUACAAUUCCAGCUUUUUGUUAUUUUUCCUUUUAACUUUAAAAAACUUACAAAUCUAAACUUUACCUUUUUUUUUUAUUUGAAUGUAAUUUAGAUAUCACUAGCUUAAAAUAAAAAGGUUUCCAGACUACUUCUUUGCCAUAGAUAAUCCCUGACAAACCAUGGCACUCUGUGUUGGAAGCCUAUCAACAGUUGUGUUACUCAGCCAUAACCUUCUCCUGCUUCAGCCUUCCUGCUUGACUCUGAAGGGGUGCAUGAACUUUCAAAUGCAGCUGGCAUCUGCACUAUGGCCUUCCAGUAUUAGAUGGGUCCCACUGCAGCCAGACACCUGUGGGUUUGACCCUCAUUAAUCACAAACCCCAGUGUUUGGACAGUUACCAUAACUUAAAAAUCACUCUAAGAAAAACCGCUGUGUUUCUUUCUCACUGCCACAUCAGGUCCCUUUUCAAGAAAGCACAGUGAAGACAGGGACUGCCAGAGUAGAGAUGGGUGACCAUGGGGUUCUGUCCUGGGAAGGGAGGGCUGGGUUUUGCUGGCUGUGUAUUUAUACUGUAUGAUAGAUCCCACACUUUUAUUGUCUAUCUAUUUUGACUUUAAUGCUUAUGACAUUUUCUCGUGCCAAAAUUUGUUUAUAUUUUUCAAGUUAAAUUAAACUGAUUUGGGUAACUUUCCUUCCCCUACAAAGUAUUUCCCCCCUGACUUACGUCUAUUUUGGCUGUUGAGAGUGGCAUUUGCAGGACUAACUAACCUCCAAGAGCUGCUCCUUACAUUCGAGGUAGGCAUGACAUGAAGUAGCUCCCAGCCACCCACUUGAAAUCUCUCACCCUUACAUUUGCUUUGUACUGAGACAUCUCUUAUUUUAAGUAGACAAAACAUAGAAAACCUCGAUUGUCCCAGAUUCUUUCUGCCUUCUCUCUGGCUGUCACAGGCGUGCAUCUACAACUGUCCUUUAAAUGCCCUCCUACUUCUCCAAGAGGGUAAGUGCUUGACUGACUUACAGAAAGAAAGGUGACUUGACCAGGUUUGCUUGUCAACAUCAGUGACAAAGGCAUCAGUCAGUUGGAGCAAUCAGAAACCGCAUUUGUCCUCUGUCUGGAGGUCAGUGAAAAGAGGCACAAGUCCCUGAAAGUACAAGUUUAGUGGAAGCCAGGACACACUCAUUAAGGACCAAAGUGUGGGGUUUUCACAGGCUCGAUAGCAAGAGCUACUGUACGUCCAGAACAGCAGGACUCUUAAGUUCAUCCAGGACCAGUCUUGAAGCUGCUCUCAGAGGAAUGAGCUCAUCAGUUUGGGAGGAGACCCAGAGUGCAUAUUUCCAGCACAGUGAGCUCCCUGGGCACUUCUCGUCAGGUCUGCAGUCUGCUUUAGUAAACUGUAAGUGUGCAGUUGCAGCCUUACAUGGUGACCUACACGGUGGCUGACAGCAGUCAGGGAAAGGCCUCAGCCGUGAUGCCUGUUGACCUCUUGCAGAAGCAGAGCAAAGCACUCUUCAUGCCCUUAGUCUGAAAAUGUAUUUGGUCAAGAUGACUUUUCCCAUUCCUGGCCCCUCUAAAGCCUCACACAGAAAGACAAAGCCACGCUGCACGCUUGUUCCCUUUAAAAUCAUGAGCCACAGGUAUGCGUGCAUGGAGGUUCUUCCUGCCUUUACAGUUCUCUCUGCUGGUGGGAGGAGUCCAGUCUUUAACAUAACCCAGUGCCCUGCUAGGGGGAAAAAGCCUGUGUUCUAGAGAGAAAGAAACAUGCCCAAUAUCCACAGUUAGUACUCAGAACCAGGGUCCAACUUUGGCCUGCCUCAUGGUGGCUAUGUGAUAUUUAAGAAAGGUAGGGUUUUUAAAGAAGUAUUUAUUAAUAUAUUCCUAUAUAACAUUUUAAAGGAAGCCACAUAAAAAUAGUUAAUUUUUUCCUUCUAAGUAAAUGCUAAGCAUGCUUAUUAACGAAGCAGUACCGAUGAGUAUGUGGCAUUCUGAAGCUAAUUGAAAUCAUUCUAUUAAAUGUCUUCCUUGGUGUCAUGGGAGAUAGGGACACAGAAUGUUUGCAUAAGCCCAGGAACCCAUCUUCCAUGAUGUGAGACAAGAGCCUCAGCCAGGUCUACACUCUGCAUGUGAGAGCAUCCUCUCCUAGCACGUGGAAGGAACUGGAAACAUCCCGACUGUGGCCUUCCCAGCCCCACCCCUCCUCUCCUACCUGCCCUCCCUGCUGUUCCAGAAGCCCCUUGCAGACACAGAAGCUGUGUUUGUGUGUUUGGUUUUAAGUAACCCUAAUACAGAUUUAUGCUGUUUUCAGCAAACUGGGAUUUGGGGCUGGUGGGGUCUUUAAGUUUAGCACAUAAAGUGCCUGCUGUUUCAGCACCGACCUGAGCAUAAUCUGCAUGUCUGUCUCCAGUGAGCGUACGGGUCUCCUCCUUUUCAGCCCCACGGCUUUUAAUUGUGUGGUGUGAAGCAUUAGUUUUGCUGCGUUUUAUUACAGGUUCUUGGUUGCAAUAAAGAUGCUGCUGAAAUCAA